rnacentral:rRNA from 1 species
UACAGAGGGUGCGAGCGUUAAUCGGAAUUACUGGGCGUAAAGCGCACGUAGGUGGCGACGUAAGUCGGGUGUGAAAGCCCCGGGCUCAACCUGGGAAUUGCAUUCGAGACUGCAUUGCUGGAGUACGGAAGAGGAGGGCGGAAUUUCCGGUGUAGCGGUGAAAUGCGUAGAUAUCGGGAGGAACAUCAGUGGCGAAGGCGGACCUCUAGUCCAGUACUGACACUCAAGUGCGAAAGCGUGGGGAGCAAACAGG